rnacentral:rRNA from 1 species
GACGAGCGCUGGCGGCGCGCCUAACACAUGCAAGUCGAACGGAGCUGAGAGAAGCUUGCUUUUCUUAGCUUAGUGGCGAACGGGUGAGUAACGCGUGAGUAACCUGCCCUGGAGUGGGGGACAACAGUUGGAAACGACUGCUAAUACCGCAUAAGCCCACGAUCCGGCAUCGGAUUGAGGGAAAAGGAUUUAUUCGCUUCAGGAUGGACUCGCGUCCAAUUAGCUAGUUGGUGAGGUAACGGCCCACCAAGGCGACGAUUGGUAGCCGGACUGAGAGGUUGAACGGCCACAUUGGGACUGAGACACGGCCCAGACUCCUACGGGAGGCAGCAGUGGGGGAUAUUGCACAAUGGGGGAAACCCUGAUGCAGCGACGCCGCGUGGAGGAAGAAGGUUUUCGGAUUGUAAACUCCUGUCGUUAGGGACGAUAAUGACGGUACCUAACAAGAAAGCACCGGCUAACUACGUG